GACGAAGGGGGCUAGCGUUGUUCGGAAUUACUGGGCGCAAAGCGCGUGUAGGCGGUUGCCCAAGUCGGGUGUGAAAGCCUUGAGCUCAACUCAAGAAAUGCACUCGGUACUGGGUGACUAGAGGACCGGAGAGGAUAGUGGAAUUCCCAGUGUAGUGGUGAAAUACGUAGAGAUUGGGAAGAACACCAGUGGCGAAGGCGGCUAUCUGGACGGUUUCUGACACUAAGACACGAAAGCGUGGGAGCAAACAGGG
rnacentral:rRNA from 1 species